UCGCUUUUCUGUAAAAAUUAUCGCUUUUCAAAGACUGUCCUUUAUAUAAUAAACAGAAAAAUACAUGGGUGCUUGGAAAUGCCAGAUUUAUUUCUCGUGUUGAACAUGAUAUCUCACUCGUUCGCUGCGCUCACUCGUGAGAUAUCAUGUUCAACACUCGAAAUAAAUCUGGUAUUUCCGCGCAUCCAUGUAUUAUUCUCU